CCUACGGGUGGCAGCAGUGAGGAAUAUUGGUCAAUGGACGAGAGUCUGAAGCAGCCAAGUAGCGUGAAGGAUGACUGCCCUCUGAGUUGUAACCUUCUUUUAUAAAGGAAUAAAACCAGUCACGUGUGCCUCUUUGCAUGUACUUUAUCAAUAAGGAUCGGCUAACGCCGGGCCAGCAGCCGCGGCACUAUGGAGGAUCCGAGCGUUAUCCUGAUUUAUUUGGGUUAAAGGGAGAGUAGAUGGGUUGUUAAGUCAGUUGUGAAAGUUUGCGGCUCAACGGUAAAAUUGCAAUUGAUACUGGCAGUCUUGAGUACAGGUGAGGAAAGCGGAAUUCGUGGUGUAGCGGUGAAAUGCUUAGAUAUCACGAAGAACCCCGAUGGCGAAGGCAGCUAACUAAACUGUGACUGACAUUGAGGCGCGAAAGUGUGGGUAGCAAACAGGAUUAGAUACCCGUGUAGUC
rnacentral:rRNA from 1 species